UAUAAAGUAAGCUAAUUUAAUAAGCUAGUGGGUUCAUACCCCAAACAUGAUUUAAUCCUUUAUUA
rnacentral:tRNA from 1 species